rnacentral:rRNA from 1 species
UACGAAGGGGGCUAGCGUUGCUCGGAAUCACUGGGCGUAAAGGGUGCGUAGGCGGGUCUUUAAGUCAGGGGUGAAAUCCUGGAGCUCAACUCCAGAACUGCCUUUGAUACUGAAGAUCUUGAGUCCGGAAGAGGAGAGUGGAAUUCCCGGUGUAGCGGUGAAAUGCGCAGAUAUCGGGAAGAACACCCGUGGCGAAGGCGGCUCUCUGGGACGGUACUGACGCUGAGACGCGAAAGCGUGGGGAGCGAACAGG